UACUGCACUGUCAGUCAUCAAAAAGAUUUUUUGGCCUGGGUGUAGUGGCUCACACCUGCAAUCCUAGCAUUCUGGGACGCCAAGGAGGAUGGAUCAUUUGACGUCAGGAGUUUGAGAUCAGCCUAGCCAACAUGGUGAAACACUGACUCUACUGAAAAUGCAAAAAUUAGUUGGGCGAGGUGCUGUGUUCCUGUAAUCCCAGCUACUUCGGAGGCUGAAGCAGAAGAAUUGCUUGAACCCAGGAGGCAGAGGUUGCAUUGAGCCAAGGUCACACCAAACUCCGUGUCAAGCCAACGGUGGCUUGUUUCUAUUUGCAAGCCCUCAACCAUUGAGCAUCUCCACUCUCUUCUCAGGUUCCUCCCAUCUCUCUGAAGCUAUAAUUCCAUUGUCACUUCCUCUAGCUAGCAACACGGGGACUGCCCACCAUGCCCUAACUCCUCCUUGUGCUUUUGGCCUUCGCGUAAGAGUUCCCUGGAGUUUGUUCACAGCAUCUGUUGCCAUCUGAAGUGUCAUCUUCCCCGUUAUAUCCCCAGUGCCUAGAAUUACGUCUGGUGCACUCAACCAG
rnacentral:antisense_RNA from 1 species